rnacentral:sRNA from 1 species
GCAGGGCAUGGGGGUGCAUGCCUGUAAUCCCAGCAGCUUGGGGAGGCUGAGGCAGGAGGAUUGCAGCCUCAGCAACUUAGUGAGACCCUGAGUAACCCAGCAAGACCUUGUCUCUA